AAAAGUCUUCCAGACGAAGCUCAGCCGAGACUACAAAUUGGAAAAGUCGACAAUCAUCCGACAUGGCAACAAAAUGAUGGCGGGGUUUGAGGCCAACAGAUUGCAAGAUGAUCGUAAACGGUUUCGGGGGAGCGGCACAUCCUGAAGUGGAGAAAGAGGGUUCAAGAUGAGAUGGUGACAUUCUACUCCCCAAGCUGCACAGUUACCCCUUCCUCGGACAGUGACAGCGGGCGGAGUCUCCGGCGUCACACCUACUGGCGACGAUCAUCAUCCGUGAGGGGCAGCUGCAACGGAGCGCCAGAAGACAGCGGUUUCCAAUCACGCUGCAGCGGAGAAUGAAACAGGUGG